rnacentral:tRNA from 4 species
GGGCGCUUAGCUCAGCUGGGAGAGCAUCUGCCUUACAAGCAGAGGGUCACAGGUUCGAGCCCUGUAGCGCCCACCA